CAGGGCUUUCGUCUUGUAAUUGGAAUGAUGGUGAUGUACAACCUCACCAGAGUACCAAUUGGAGGGCAAGUCUGGUGCCAGCAGCCGCGGUAAUUCCAGCUCCAAUAGCGUAUAUUAAACUUGUUGCAGUUAAAAAGCUCGUAGUUGUAUUUCAGCCUCGCGUUUUUUCCCUCUUUUCGGGUCUUUUCGCUGGCUUUGUUUUUACUUUGAGAAAAUUAGAAUGUUCAAAGCAGGCCUAAAGCCGGAAUACAUUAGCAUGGAAUAAUAAAAUAGGACGUGUGAUUCUAUUUUGUUGGUUUUUAGAAUUACCGUAAUGAUUAAUAGGAACAGUUGGGGGCAUUUGUAUUCAGUAGCUAGAGGUGAAAUUCUUGGAUUUACUGAAGACAAACUACUGCGAAAGCAUUUGCCAAGGAUGUUUUCAUUAAUAAAGGAC
rnacentral:rRNA from 1 species